CGCCUAUCUGCUGAAUGGAAUGAGCAAUUAGAGGGUGGAAUAUUAUUGCGAUCUUAACGAGGCUCGUUAAAGCGAAAGAAGAUUUGCACAUUCUCCACGGGGCUGGCCAGAUACACCAGCGACCUCAAGCUUGGAGGGACAAGCUGCAUGUGAGCGGAGUCCAUGCCCGCCGCGGACUGUCACCACUCGAGCUCCGGACUGGACGUGGCACUGGUCCACUGCCGUUUCACUGGUUCAUUUCUCCGAGAUCGGAAUGGAAAUCCAGCCGCUGCUCCUGGGGACUUCCUGGCAGGGCUGGGAGCUUGUAUCGGAGCUGUCCAAUCAGUGUAUUUACACGGGUUGUUAGCGACAGUUAAUGAGGGCUCCUCCCCGGGCCGGUAGAGAAAGGCGCCUCAACAUUAAAAUGUACCUUGUGUCAACUCGUUACUUCUAAUGAACCUCCAUGUAAAAGCCUCCUCGUACUCAAUGGAGCCGUGCGCCCGGAUCUUGUGUGUGAGACCCCUGGAAGAGUGGAGCUGCAGAACGGCCUCCCUUUCCCCCCUUUCAUCCGCUCACUCGGGGAGAGUCGCUUUUUCUCUGCAUGUCCGGGCUCCGUGAUGCAUGCACACAUGCCUGCUUGUGUGAGUGUGUGUGUGUGUGUGUGUGGUGUGUGUGUUCAGUGAAGGUGGGUGGUGCAUAUGACCUCUUUACAAGAAUGUAACGUUGGCAACACCACACGUCCCCAACUCGCCGACGCUUAGUCAGUGGCCAUGCGCCUCUUUAUUAAUGGAACAACAAUAAUACAUAAUAUAACGUAUAAAUUAACACAGGGCCUUAAGUCUGAGAAGUCAAACGUGUUGAAGAUCCCCAUGGUGUUUAAGAGUAUAGUGCCCAUGCAUUCGCCACUAAAAGUACGAGAAGUGUGUGAGAAAGAGAGAGAGAGAGAGAGAGAGAGAGAGAGAGGUGUUUGUAUCACAAACCUGAUAUGUCUUCUAUUGUUGGCUGAACGAUGCUUGACGUGCCAGGUAUUGGCUCUGCAGAAGCAAGUUCAUUUCUAAUCAACCUCAUCCCCCUCCGUCCACCCCGCGUCUGGCCCCCAUGGCUUGUUGAGCCGCAUCAGCAACACAUCACUGGCCCUCAAUUCAGGUACAAACUGGAGGAGUUUGGCGGAUCCCUGAAGUGGACUCCCCUCUUACUCCUCUAACCCACGGAGACACUUACAAAUCAAUUAGGCUCGUCUGGUCUCGGCCUCAGCGCUAGUCGUCAUUUCUAAAAACAGGUGGCUGCCGCCCUUAUGGCCCUUCUGAAUCCAUAGCACUCUCUCUGCCUUCAUUAGGUCAUUUACAUAAGCCAGUGGCCUGAUAUUAACACAAAGUAAAAGCGACCCAUCAUGUGCCGGUAUACCUCGAUGUCAAAUGCGCCCCUGUGUCGCCUCUCACCAUCAGUUUAACCCUAUAGUCGCCGGGUCCCUCGAGUUAAAGAGCUGCAGCGCUGGAGGAGGCCGCGUGUGCACUGUUCCAGGUAGAUGAGUUGAUUUGGAGACGGAGAAAUGAAUAAUGGGCGCAUCAGAUGCAUUGCCCCCAAGCUUCACAUACGAUGCUCACCUUCCAAUCCCCCCCCCCCCCCUCAAGGGUUUGUUAAAGAGCCAAUCUCUGUGUCCACCCUUCGAGAAUCAUCGUGCAUCACUUAUCUGCAUGUGUGGGCCUCAAAGUGCACACGGACUCUGGAUAGGCAACACCAUGGCCGGGGUUACAUCAGCACAAAUGUUGACAAAAUGUCUCUCGGUUUUGGAAUCGACUGUCAGGGCUGAUUAGGCGCCCCCAGCUCUCGGAUGCAGAUGAGCUGCGGAUGCUCCGGAGCCCGGUGUCACAGGAGCUAACAGGCAGUAAUUACUGUGGCUGACAUAUCGUCUUUAAAGCUGACUGCUGUUGGAUGAACCGCAGACAGCGUGCAGACAGUGUAGGCCGCACAAUGCGUUGGCCGACAGGCCACGUGGUCCCUUUCAGCAGGGUUCAUAAAGCUGGGCUGGUCACGUGCUCCAUAGCUGACCUUUACAUAAGUGAAACAGACUCUUAUCUUAUUUAAGCUAUAGUGUAUGGUAGAUCAUGAGGGUGUGAAUGAAAAAAAACAUGAAGUGUAACGUAACUAUGUACACAUUCGCUUAUUGUAUCAAUAAAGUACUAUACCUAUACAUUUGAAUGCAAGCCUUUUGCUUGUUAAGUAUUCUUGCAAUGUGGCAAAGCUGCUUAUAUUGUAUCAAUAUUUCUUCCAGCAGGCUAAAUAUGUAUACGUAUAAUAAAGACACCAUUGAAAAGUGUAUUCCCCACUA